UUGACAUUUCAUUCUCGCGGAUUUUUCAUGUCGACUUCUCAUUGUGCAUUGUUAAAGUAGUUCAUAGAUGUCUUGGGUGUGUCCUAACAUUUCAAGCUGUUUGUUUAUCAGCCAAUACCUUUUUUGAUACAGUUUGUUUUUUAAGUUCAUUAAGGAAUUCUUUUAGUGUUGUCAUAUUUGAAGUAUUUAAAGAAUUUGUAUGUAUUUGGAAAUAUAGUGAAAUAAAAAUGAUAUUGAAUAAUUGUACAAGAAUUUGAUGUUAAGAAAUUCAAUUAAAUGCAGUUAAAAGACAGUUUGUACCAUUCUUUGAAGUGAACUCUUUGUAUCUCAGUUCAUCUCCUCCAUUUUGUUGGAUGUUGACCAAGACAUGUGGAUCAAGCACUUCGUAUCAUAUGAUAAAAUCAUGUCUUUUUUCUGUUCAAAUGUCAAGAACUUGCAAAAUAAAUUUUGCAUGUAUUUUU
rnacentral:misc_RNA from 1 species